rnacentral:tRNA from 1 species
AAAGAUCGGGCGUGCAUGUUACGCACGCCCCCGAACCUAUCGGUUAGGUCUUACGAAAGUAAGAGCUGUGACACGAUGUCACGGCAAGCUGAAAAGUAGCCAGGACUAGCAAAUAAGUGAAAUUUAGCGGACAAGCUGGGGCUUGUAGCUCAGCUGGUAGAGCGCUGCCUUUGCAAGGCAGAGGCCCUGGGUUCGAAUCCCAGCAAGUCCAUUAUAGAUGCACCUAUCGAGGACGACUCGUGUAGGGAAGGGCUGAGGCCUUACGAGGCCUAGGAAGCCGUGUACAAGCUUUGCGACCAGACGCUCACUGAGUUUAGUGGGGCAUUUAAA